GACGAACCGUGCGAACGUUGUUCGGAAUUACUGGGCGUAAAGGGCUCGUAGGCGGCCAACUAAGUCAGACGUGAAAUCCCUCGGCUUAACCGGGGAACUGCAUCUGAUACUGGAUGGCUUGAGUUCGGGAGAGGGAUGCGGAAUUCCAGGUGUAGCGGUGAAAUGCGUAGAUAUCUGGAGGAACACCGGUGGCGAAGGCGGCAUCCUGGACCGACACUGACGCUGAGGAGCGAAAGCCAGGGGAGCAAACGGG
rnacentral:rRNA from 1 species